CUAAACACCACAUAAUUUAUAAACAAAUCAUUUUUCCCCUCUAGUAUGGGCGACAGAAAAAGGUAUAAGCGCCAUAGAAUAAGUACCGCAAGGGAAAGCUGAAAGAGAACUGAAAUAAUCCAUCAAGUUAAGAGUAGCAGAGAUUAAACCUCGUACCUUUUGCAUCAUGAUUUAGCCAGUGUAAAUCAAGCAAAAUGCACUUUAGUUUGACAACCCGAAACUAAGUGAGCUACUUCAAGGCAGCCUAAAUUAUAGGGCAAACCCGUCUCUGUGGCAAAAGAGUGGGAAGACCUUCAAGUAGAGGCGACAAACCUACCGAACUUAGUAAUAGCUGGUUGCCUGGGAAUUGAAUAGGAGUUCAGCCUCCCAGCUUCUUUAUUCCACUACUUCAUUUUUUAACCUCUAUGAUGAUAAGAAUACUGAGAGAGUUAGUCAAAGAAGGUACAGCUUCUUUGACAUAAGACACAACUUUUACAGGAGGGUAAAGAUCAUAAUUUAAACAAGGAUAACAUCACCGUGGGCUUAAAAGCAGCCAUCAGAACAAAAAGCGUCAAAGCUUAAAUCUUUUCUACACCCUUUAAUUAUGACUAGAUAAUCUUAACCCCCUAGUUCUACCAAGCUAUUCCAUGCAAACAUGGAAGAAACUAUGCUAAUAUGAGUAAUAAGAGAGAUUAUACCUCUCUCCCUGCACACGUGUAAAUCAGAAUGGAUAACCCACUGAAUAUUAACGGCCUCACUAAAAGAGGGCACUAAGUAACAUAAUAAAAGACAAGAAAACCACUUAAUUACAACCGUUAACCCCACACAGGAGUGCUUACUGGGAAAGACUAAAAGAAAGAGAAGGAACUCGGCAAACACCAAAGCCUCGCCUGUUUACCAAAAACAUCGCCUCUUGUAACCUAAAGUUAAGAGGUCCCGCCUGCCCUGUGACAUUAAGUUUAACGGCCGCGGUAUUUUGACCGUGCAAAGGUAGCGAAAUCACUUGUCUCUUAAAUAGGGACCUGUAUGAAUGGCAUAACGAGGGCUUAACUGUCUCCUUUUUCAGGUCAAUGAACUUGAUCCCCCCGUGCAGAAGCGGGGAUACGCACAUAAGACGAGAAGACCCUAUGGAGCUUUAGACACAAAGGCAGACCCUGUACAGCAUCCCUUAUAAAGGAACGAAACCGGGAGUUCAGCUGCCCAAUGUCUUUGGUUGGGGCGACCGCGGAAGACAACAUAACCUCCGCGUGGAAUGGGAGCACCCUCCCAGAACCAAGAGCUACAGCUCUAAGUAACAGAACUUUUGACCAUGAAGAUCCGGCAAAGCCGAUCAACGAACCGAGUUACCCUAGGGAUAACAGCGCAAUCCUCUUACAGAGCCCUUAUCGACAAGGGGGUUUACGACCUCGAUGUUGGAUCAGGACAUCCUAAUGGUGCAGCCGCUAUUAAAGGUUCGUUUGUUCAACG
rnacentral:rRNA from 1 species